CUACGGGUUGCUCCAGUGAGGAAUUUUGCGCAAUGGGGGCAACCCUGACGCAGCAACGCCGCGUGAGUGAAGAAGGCCUUUGGGUCGUAAAGCUCUGUCAAUUGGGAAGAAGUUAGAUAUGUUUAAUAGAUGUAUCUAUUGACGGUACCAAUGGAGGAAGCGCCGGCUAACUCCGUGCCAGCAGCCGCGGUAACACGGGGGGCGCAAGCGUUAUUCGGAAUUAUUGGGCGUAAAGGGCGCGCAGGCGGUCUUAUCGGUCAGAUGUGAAAGCCCGGGGCUCAACCCCGGACGUGCAUUUGAAACAGUAAGACUUGAGUACGGGAGAGGAAAGCGGAAUUCCUGGUGUAGAGGUGAAAUUCGUAGAUAUCAGGAGGAACACCGAUGGCGAAGGCAGCUUUCUGGACCGAUACUGACGCUGAGGCGCGAAGGCGUGGGUAGCGAACGGGAUUAGAUACCCUUGUAGUC
rnacentral:rRNA from 1 species